CUACGGGAUGCUCCAGUGGGGAAUAUUGCACAAUGGGCGCAAGCCUGAUGCAGCCAUGCCGCGUGUAUGAAGAAGGCCUUCGGGUUGUAAAGUACUUUCAGCGGGGAGGAAGGGAGUAAAGUUAAUACCUUUGCUCAUUGACGUUACCCGCAGAAGAAGCACCGGCUAAAGCCGUGCCAGCAGCCGCGGUAAUACGGAGGGGUGCAAGCGUUAAUCGGAAUUACUGGGCGUAAAGCGCACGCAGGCGGUUUGUUAAGUCAGAUGUGAAAUCCCCGGGCUCAACCUGGGAACUGCAUCUGAUACUGGCAAGCUUGAGUCUCGUAGAGGGGGGUAGAAUUCCAGGUGUAGCGGUGAAAUGCGUAGAGAUCUGGAGGAAUACCGGUGGCGAAGGCGGCCCCCUGGACGAAGACUGACGCUCAGGUGCGAAAGCGUGGGGAGCAAACAGGAUUAGAUACCCUAGUAGUC
rnacentral:rRNA from 1 species